rnacentral:rRNA from 1 species
AGAGUUUGAUCCUGGCUCAGGAUGAACGCUGGCGGCGUGCCUAAUACAUGCAAGUCGAGCGAAUGGAUUGAGAGCUUGCUCUCAAGAAGUUAGCGGCGGACGGGUGAGUAACACGUGGGUAACCUGCCCAUAAGACUGGGAUAACUCCGGGAAACCGGGGCUAAUACCGGAUAAUAUUUUGAACUGCAUGGUUCGAAAUUGAAAGGCGGCUUCGGCUGUCACUUAUGGAUGGACCCGCGUCGCAUUAGCUAGUUGGUGAGGUAACGGCUCACCAAGGCAACGAUGCGUAGCCGACCUGAGAGGGUGAUCGGCCACACUGGGACUGAGACACGGCCCAGACUCCUACGGGAGGCAGCAGUAGGGAAUCUUCCGCAAUGGACGAAAGUCUGACGGAGCAACGCCGCGUGAGUGAUGAAGGCUUUCGGGUCGUAAAACUCUGUUGUUAGGGAAGAACAAGUGCUAGUUGAAUAAGCUGGCACCUUGACGGUACCUAACCAGAAAGCCACGGCUAACUACGUGCCAGCAGCCGCGGUAAUACGUAGGUGGCAAGCGUUAUCCGGAAUUAUUGGGCGUAAAGCGCGCGCAGGUGGUUUCUUAAGUCUGAUGUGAAAGCCCACGGCUCAACCGUGGAGGGUCAUUGGAAACUGGGAGACUUGAGUGCAGAAGAGGAAAGUGGAAUUCCAUGUGUAGCGGUGAAAUGCGUAGAGAUAUGGAGGAAC